rnacentral:misc_RNA from 1 species
GAAAUGCGAUAAGUAAUGUGAAUUGCAGAAUUCAGUGAAUCAUCGAAUCUUUGAACGCACCUUGCGCCCUUUGGCUAUUCCGAAGGGCAUGCCUGUUUGAGUAUCAUGAACACCUCAACUCUCACGGUUUCUCGUGAUGAGCUUGGACUUGGGGGCUUGUUGGCCUGUGGUCGGCUCUCCUCAAAUGAAUUAGCUUGCCGGUGUCUGGCGGCAUCAUGGGUGUGAUAACCAUCUACGCUUGUGAUUGCCUGCGAGGUAAACCUCUGGCCUGCAGAGGUUCGCCGGAGCUUAUAGAUGUCUCUCCUCAGCGAAGACAGCUGUCUGAAGUUCGAUCUCAAAUCAGGUAGGACUACCCGCUGAACUUAA